rnacentral:rRNA from 1 species
UACGGAGGAUCCAAGCGUUAUCCGGAUUUAUUGGGUUUAAAGGGUGCGUAGGCGGCUCUAUAAGUCAGUAGUGAAAUCUCGAAGCUCAACUUCGAACGUGCUAUUGAAACUGUAGAGCUUGAGUACAGACGAGGCAGGCGGAAUGUGUUGUGUAGCGGUGAAAUGCUUAGAUAUAACACAGAACACCGAUAGCGAAGGCA